GAGAGGUUGAACCGGCCACAUUGGGACUGAGACACGGCCCAGACUCCUACGGAAGGCAGCAG
rnacentral:rRNA from 1 species